AAACCCAAUCGAAACCCUAGGCUACAUCAAACCACACCCUUUCUCAGACCGGACCCUUUCUCUCCGUCGUCUUCUCCUCUCUCAACCACACCCUCUGCCGGCAUUGAGCGCCAGCCACGCCCUCCUCUCCAUCAUCUUCUCUUCCUCUGACCACCUAGACCUCGACCUUGAGUCCUUCACUCUACUCUCCCUCUUCUAGCUUGCCGUGGCUUAGCCCCAGCCCCAGCCCCACCUCUCUUCGCAGCCUCAACCCUAGCCUCAACCCCAGCCGUGGCCUCAGCCCCAUCCCCAUCCCCACCUCUCCUCGAAGCUUCAGCCCCAGCCGUGGCCCCGACACCUCUCUACGUCUACUCUGCUCUGUGCGUCUCUCUCUCAUUCUCUCUCUAUGUCUGCUCCGCUCUCUGCUCUGGGGGGGAAGAAGAAGAGGAGUGGAGCUCGCAAGGCAUUGGUUCUCAGGAACCCUAUGUGUGUUCUAAUGCCGGGUGUGCUGCUUUGUUAUUGACUAUGUGAUCGAAGGUUUGUCAGAGAGGCUUAUGCGGAAGGCUCAUUGCACGAACGAAAGAAUUUCAUGAGUCUCAUAAAAGGUGGCUGGUUCGAAGCUAAAUGUAAGUAGGAAAAAAUCAAGAACAAAGGACAAUACCCCUCCCACCAGUUGAGCCCUCCACUGAUGCUCUGGCACCCGAUCCUCUCAUCCCUACUCCGGGAUUCACAUCUAUAGCCCAGGCCGGGACCUGUUCACAUAAGCAGUCAGAUCCUUGGGUCCCUAAUUCGAAACAGCCACCAGUCUCCAAUUCGAGUCAGCCUUCAGUCUCUACCAACCUUUACCGGAAGAUCGACAAUCGCUUGCGAUCACCCCACAAGCGCAACAGGGGGUCGAAGCCCAACAAGGAGCCCCAACACAAUAGAUCCCUACUAACCGAUCGCCUGUAGAAUCCACCAGGGGAACGGUCGUGGACCAGAGGAUCAAAUUGCACAAAAAGUUUCCUAACGGAUUUUGGCCGUCGAAAAAGGGCAUCCGCUCAAUCGUGGACAUACUGACUCAAAGGUUUUACGGGGCUUGGCCUAGAUGGUCCGAUAUCCCUGAUGCAACUAUGAAUUCGUGCUUUGAAAUGUGGGAGAACUAUGUUUGUUGACACCUGUCUUUGGAGGACCACAUGAAGAAGGCCUUCCAUGCUCGAGGGUCGAAGAGUAUGAGGCAACUCAUGACCAAAAUCUGUAAAGAAGGAAAAAGACCGGACUGGAUCUAGGAGGAACACUGGAUAAAGAUGCAAGAACUCUGGCAAAGGAAGAAGUACAGAAGGUUCUGUGAGCAGAAUAAGUUGAAUCAAGCUUCGGCCAGGGGGGUCACUUCACACCGGAGGAUGCAUUUCUCUCGCUACCUCAUGAGAUAAGAUGGAGAAGGCAGAGAAACGAUCGAUUGGGCAAGUGGAGCUAUUCUUGAGACUCCACAAGAGAAGUAAGGAUGGAACCUGCGUGUGCCCACGUGCGGCAAAGGCUUUGUUGGACUACGAGGAGUUGAAAAAGGCUUCUCAAGGGUUUGAUGGAGAUGGUGAUAGCAACCUUGCUGAUGCCGAAAUUUGGGUGAAUGCCAUAGGAGGCACCUCAACCUCUCCGAUAUCCCCAGCUCCGUACGUGCCAUGGAGCAAGAUGCCGAGCGAAUGAGGAAGCACACCUUUCUGUUGGAUGAAGAGAAUAGAUGGCAUGCGAAUGAGAAAUAUUUCGACCUCAGGAAGGAGUUGCAGGGCUUGCUACUAGAGGAGAUAUCCUGACAAGAUAAGAAGAUCAAGAAAUUAUAGGAGAAGAUAAAGAAACAAGAGAAGGCUAAUGACAAGAGGUUUAAGUCCAUGGAGCACAAGAUGGACCGAGGCUUCAUCACAGCUCUGGACCGACUUGAGAACAUGCAGAAGAAGUUGAGGAUUGAUGAUAGAAGCUCCCCGCCGGUCGAUCACGUUGCCCUUCUUGAGGGUAAGGGCAAGGGCAAGGGCAAGGGCAAGCAUAUGAGAGGUUUCUGAGAGGGCAAUGAAGACGACUCCUCUUCCUCUUCCUCUUCUAACGACGAUGAUGUGGUUUUUCCAUACCUCAACCAUGAAGCAGAUGAGGUUUAGUCCUUUCUUAUUUAGUUCUCUUUACAUUUUAUUUGGUAAAACUCGAUAAUAAACUUCGAGUAAACUCGAACUUAGGUUUAUAGCUUGUAUUGUGUUAGUCGGAUCAGAUUGCAUUUUGGAUGUUUAUUCCCAAGUUUGAACCUUUGGAGUGUGCAUUGCAUUUUGGAUAUUAAUAUUAUUGUAUGCAGGUGGCUUUUUGUAA